rnacentral:rRNA from 1 species
UCCACGCAGUAAACGAUGAAUGUUAGUCGUUGGAUAGCAAGUCUAUUCAGUGAUGCAGUUAACACAUUAAACAUUCCGCCUGGGGAGUACGGUCGCAAGAUUAAAACUCAAAGGAAUAGACGGGGACCCGCACAAGUGGUGGAGCAUGUGGUUUAAUUCGAAUACGCGAAGAACCUUACCUAGCCUUGACAUUGAUAGAACACAGUAGAGAUACAGUGGUGCCCUUCGGGGAGCUUGAAAAC